UGGGGAAUCUUGCGCAAUGGCCGCAAGGCUGACGCAGCGACGCCGCGUGUGGGAGGACGCCUCGGGGUGUAAACCACUGUUGCCCGGGACGAACGGGCGCUUUCGAGCGCCGUGACGGUACCGGGUGAGGAAGCACCGGCUAACUCCGUGCCAGCAGCCGCGGUAAUACGGAGGGUGCGAGCGUUGUCCGGAAUCACUGGGCGUAAAGGGCGCGUAGGCGGCGCGGUAAGCGGGCGGUGAAAGCCCGGGGCU
rnacentral:rRNA from 1 species